GCAUGGAAAAAUGAUAUUUGUAACUCAUGAGAACUUUGUCAGUAUUAGGGUAGUUGAAGGAAAAAAAUUAUAUGUAUGUAUAUAUAGAUAGAUGUUGGAAGCCAGCACCUGGUAGUGGGCCCCUAACCCCGUGAAAACACCAAACCGCAAGCAGCUUGUUCCGGGACAAACCGUACAUAACAUGUUUGUCAGGGCUAACCGCAAAUGUUGCCACACCGCCCCUGGAAAGUCCCGGAGGCCCAUUUUUUUUGCCCCUCCCCCUUUUGCCCUAUAUAAGCUUGUAACGCUCAAAAAUAAAGUUAGACCUUGCCUACCAUCUUUUUGGUCUCGCUCCUCCUUUCACCCAUUCCUUUCAGCCAGGAUCCUCCUCGACCCCCCACGUAUACUGGCCCUGCAGGUCGGGGCAAGUGGCGCCCAACGUGGGGCUCGAGGUUCGGACUUCUGCCAGGCGGACCAGCAUUGAGAAACGAUUCGUCGCGACCCCCUCCUUCUCAUCGCUCAUGAAGAGCCCCUGCGUUUUGAAAAUGACGAUCCUCGUAAUUUUCCUCCUGUUCCGUGGGAGCCACGGUGGUUUUCAAUCUCCUGACCCAGUAGCGCUCAGCCGUGCCCUCUUUGGAAGCCCUUGUGACUGCGGCGGGGGCGUUCACUGUCCGUCCCGCCACCUACACGCAAGAAGUGGACUGCGGGGAAAAGACAGCCUACCUCGCCUACCGUCAUUCUAUCACGGUCUCCAAACCCAAGUGGGAAUGCGUAAGGAAGCCCCGAGUUAUCCCUCCGAAUGGUGGCCAGCCCGGGCCUUGCCCCAGUGAUUGCAACUACCUUGAGGCCUUGCACUCCACAUGCUAUAGUUCUACCCAGCAGUGCAGUGGCAGCUCAGGAACAGUCUAUCUUACUACAAUACAGGAAAGAGAAUAUGGUGGCUCCACAGGAGGGGACUGGGAUAGCUCCAAGCCUACGUGGAAGUACCAAUAAGUAUGCUCAGGCUUCCUGUCGUAAAGAAAAUAUUGGAAAAAAUGUCUGUUGGCCCCUUCAUGCACCUGUCCAUAUCUCUGAUGGGGGUGGCCCUACAGACCAAAUUAGGGAACAUGAGAUUGAGGCUUCUCUUAAAAACACCGUCAAUAUCCAUUACCACCAACUUGCUUUGUCAGAAGAUCCUAGUGAUACCAUGGAAGAGGGUCUCCAGUUCUCGAAGCUCGUGCAUCCGGAAUCUCGCUGCUCGCGGUGGUGGAGAAAUCUUAAGGAUAAAAAGUGAUCUGGCAGCUGUGAGAGAGCCCAUGACGGGAAUAUUGAGGUCCCAUGUGUCAAAAAGAUAAGCGCGGCUGCAGUUGCUUCCCCAUGACGGGAAUAGAGUGAGGCCAUGAUGGGUUACAUCGUGGGGGACCCCUCGCUUAGCCUAAGACAGGGACCACUGCCACUAAUGCGCUUUGAACAUGGAGGACGACCUCAUAGCCUAAGACAGGCCUCUCACCUGCUAUUUUAAAUAGAAAAGGGGGACAUGUUGGAAGCCAGCACCUGGUAGUGGGCCCCUAACCCCGUGAAAACACCAAACCGCAAGCAGCUUGUUCCGGGACAAACCGUAUCAUAACAUGUUUUCGUCAACAGAUGUACUAACCACAAAAUGUUGCCAUACCGCCCUGGAAAGUUCCGGAGGCCUAUUUUUUCUUUAGCCCCUCCCCACUUUUACCCUAUAUAAGCUUGGAACGCUCAAAAAUAAAAUUAGACCUUGCCUACCA
rnacentral:lncRNA from 1 species